CAACUUUCAACAACGGAUCUCUNGGCUCUCGCAUCGAUGAAGAACGCAGCGAAAUGCGAUAAGUAAUGUGAAUUGCAGAAUUCAGUGAAUCAUCGAAUCUUUGAACGCACCUUGCGCUCCUUGGUAUUCCGAGGAGCAUGCCUGUUUGAGUGUCAUU
rnacentral:rRNA from 1 species